GGGUUGGUAGCUCAGUCGGUAGAGCACCGGACUUUUAAUCCGUUGGUCCUGGGUUCGAAUCCCAGUCAACCCACCA
rnacentral:tRNA from 3 species